UACGUAGGGUGCGAGCGUGGUCCGGAAUUAUUGGGCGUAAAGGGCUCGUAGGCGGUUUGUCGCGUCGGGAGUGAAAACCCAGGGCUUAACCCUGGGCUGGCUUCCGAUACGGGCAGACUAGAGGUAUGCAGGGGAGAACGGAAUUCCUGGUGUAGCGGUGAAAUGCGCAGAUAUCAGGAGGAACACCGGUGGCGAAGGCGGCUUGCUGGGCCAGUUCUGACGCUGAGGAGCGAAAGCGUGGUGAGCGAACAGG
rnacentral:rRNA from 1 species